UGGAGAACAACGACAGCAAAAUAGUUAAGAUUAAAAUUAAAAUCAUAAUUAAAGUGAAAAUAUCAACGAAGGAAGGUGUGAUAAAGAAGGAAGAGACGGAAAAGCCUCGAUUGACACGAAGGGUGCCUGACAUGCCGAAGACUGGAAGAGAAGAAAAUCACCAGGGCCAGAGGGUUCGUCCGUGGAGCGGGAGGGACAGGCUACCCACGCUGGAGGAAGAAGGAGCUACGAGGAGGAGGCCCCAGCUGAAGUUCCUCCAUCGGACAGACAGCAACGGCUCCUGCGCCCUGCGAGCAGAGAGAGACCAGGGGCAGCGUCAGCAUUCCGCCGAGCAGCAACUCCUGCAACGAAUGCACGGACUCAUGGGUUAUGGCCGGAAACGGAGGACUGACGGAGACAUUACUGGUGACGGACUUGUGGGUUAUGGCCGGGGACGGAGGGAUAGUAGAGAUGUUGUUUAAGGAUUAUUAUAGAUAUAGGAUAGGAUAAGAUAGGAUCGGAUAAGAGGCUUAGAUGAAAUAGAUUAAGAUAAGAUAAAUUAAAACAUAAUAAGAUUAGUUAAAAUAUAAUAAGAUAGGCUAAGUUAAAAUAUAAGAUAGGUUAACAUAUGAUAAGAUUAAAGUUAAGAUAAGAGAUUUACAAUAAAACAUAUAUUUACUUUUCAAA